rnacentral:lncRNA from 10 species
GGCUACCUUAAUGAGCAGCCAGGAUGCCAUCAUCUCCGACCUGAAUGACAAUAACCUCCAAACCAGCCUUUGUAUACUCCUUCCUGCUGCUCUGCAGUCCACUUCCACAGACCAGCCAACUGAAUCUCCUUAUAGAUUCAUAAUGGCCAUCAGCACAAAGAUGUUUUAUCUGCAGUCAACCAGUCAUGUUUCAUGAUGGCAUCAAAAUGUGCUGGAAAAGGUCAGAGAAAAUCAUCAUCAUAAAGUGAAGUGAUUUUCUUCUUUAUGAGCUCCUGAUGUAAACAGACUGAUGAGCACAACACAAUCCUUACUCACCCACAUGACAUCAUACACAAUCACAGCUAAAUGUUUCUAUCUGUCAAAGCCUGAAGAGUGACUACCAGAUUGUUGCCUGAUUGCUAAGAAUUGAUGCUUGUUCAACUGGGAUCUAUCCAGAGAAACAUAAUCCACUUCAAGAAUUUUCUGAAAAGGGAAUCUAAUGCAAGGAAUUAAUUGCAAAGAUGAUGCAAUAUCUGAGAACGAUAGAUUUGACAGUUUGGUCUACAUUUCAAGGCUGGUUAGAUGGGAGGUAUGUCCUGGUAUAUUAGUUAAUUUAGGUAUAUCUUACUGAUUUACAUUGCAUGAUUU